UUACUACUCCCUCCGUCCCAAAAUUCUUGUCUUAGAUUCGUCUAGAUACGGAUGUAUCUAAUACUAAAACAUGACUUGAUACAUCCGUAUUUAGAUAAAUCUAAGUCAAGAAUUUUGGGACGGAGGGAGUACUAU
rnacentral:pre_miRNA from 1 species